rnacentral:rRNA from 1 species
GUAGGUAACCUGCCUUGUAGCGGGGGAUAACUAUUGGAAACGAUAGCUAAUACCGCAUAACAAUGGAUGACACAUGUCAUUUAUUUUGAAAGGGGCAAUUGCUCCACUACAAGAUGGACCUGCGUUGUAUUAGCUAGUAGGUGAGGUAAUGGCUCACCUAGGCGACGAUACAUAGCCGACCUGAGAGGGUGAUCGGCCACACUGGGACUGAGACACGGCCCAGACUCCUACGGGAGGCAGCCAAUG